CCUACGGGCGGCAGCAGUGAGGAAUAUUGGUCAAUGGACGAGAGUCUGAACCAGCCAAGUAGCGUGAAGGAUGACUGCCCUAUGGGUUGUAAACUUCUUUUAUAUGGGAAUAAAAUGUUCCACGUGUGGGAUUUUGUAUGUACCCUAUGAAUUAGGAUCGGCUAACUCCGUGCCAGCAGCCGCGGUAAUACGGAGGAUCCGAGCGUUAUCCGGAUUUAUUGGGUUUAAAGGGAGCGUAGGUGGAUUGUUAAGUCAGUUGUGAAAGUUUGCGGCUAAACCGUAAAAUUGCAGUUGAAACUGGGAGUCGUGAGUACAGGAGAGGUGGGCGGAAUUCGUGGUGUAGCGGUGAAAUGCGUAGAUAUCACGAAGAACACCGAUUGCGAAGGCAGGUCACUGGACUUCAACUGACACUGAGGCACGAAAGUGUGGGUAUCAAAAAGGAUUAGAUACCCUAGUAGUC
rnacentral:rRNA from 1 species